UUACCUACUCUUGACAUCCACGGAAUUUAGCAGAGAUGCUUUAGUGCCUUCGGGAACCGUGAGACAGGUGCUGCAUGGCUGUCGUCAGCUCGUGUUGUGAAAUGUUGGGUUAAGUCCCGCAACGAGCGCAACCCUUAUCCUUUGUUGCCAGCGGUUCGGCCGGGAACUCAAAGGAGACUGCCAGUGAUAAACUGGAGGAAGGUGGGGAUGACGUCAAGUCAUCAUGGCCCUUACGAGUAGGGCUACACACGUGCUACAAUGGCGCAUACAAAGAGAAGCGACCUCGCGAGAGCAAGCGGACCUCAUAAAGUGCGUCGUAGUCCGGAUUGGAGUCUGCAACUCGACUCCAUGAAGUCGGAAUCGCUAGUAAUCGUAGAUCAGAAUGCUACGGUGAAUACGUUCCCGGGUCUUGUACACAC
rnacentral:rRNA from 1 species